rnacentral:misc_RNA from 1 species
GAUGAAGAACGCAGCGAAAUGCGAUAAGUAAUGUGAAUUGCAGAAUUCAGUGAAUCAUCGAAUCUUUGAACGCACAUUGCGCCCGCCAGUAUUCUGGCGGGCAUGCCUGUCCGAGCGUCAUUUCAACCCUCAAGCCCCCGGGCUUGGUGUUGGAGAUCGGCGAGCCCCCCGGGGCGCGCCGUCUCCCAAAUAUAGUGGCGGUCCCGCUGUAGCUUCCUCUGCGUAGUAGCACACCUCGCACUGGGAAACAGCGUGGCCACGCCGUAAAACCCCCCACUUCUGAAAGGUUGACCUCGGAUCAGGUAGGAACACCCGCUGAACUUAAGCAUAUCAAUAAGCGGAGGA